GUGGGGAAUCUUGCGCAAUGGGCGAAAGCCUGACGCAGCCAUGCCGCGUGGAUGAUGAAGGUCUUAGGAUUGUAAAAUCCUUUCACCGGUGAAGAUAAUGACUGUAGCCGGAGAAGAAGCCCCGGCUAACUUCGUGCCAGCAGCCGCGGUAAUACGAAGGGGGCUAGCGUUGCUCGGAUUUACUGGGCGUAAAGGGCGCGUAGGCGGACAUUUAAGUCAGGGGUGAAAUCCCGGGGCUCAACCUCGGAACUGCCUUUGAUACUGGGUGUCUUGAGUAUGCGAGAGGUGUGUGGAACUCCGAGUGUAGAGGUGAAAUUCGUAGAUAUUCGGAAGAACACCAGUGGCGAAGGCGACACACUGGCUCAUUACUGACGCUGAGGCGCGAAAGCGUGGGGAGCAAACAGGAUUAGAUACCCUAGUAGUCC
rnacentral:rRNA from 1 species